ACCCAGAAAAGAUAAAAGGUUUGGACAAAAUCACACAGCAGGUUAGGGUGGAGCCUGGACCAGAAGCCCAGACCCCAAUCCAAUUCUUUUUCUGCUUCCUCAUUCUCUCUGUACUCACUUAGUCACUGUGGGUCUCACUCUUCCCUUCUGUACAAUGGGGAUGAUCACACAUUCCUUCCCACUCUCAAGGUGGGAGCUCUCCACAGGAAGCAGACAAAGCAGGGUGAGAUCAAGCAGGAUCGCAGCUGUGCCCUUGCCUUAAGAGACAUAAGAAUGAGAGGAAGAGAGGAGGGGAGAUGGAAGGGCUGGAGUGAUCAAGGCAGUAGCCCGGCAGGAGAUGGGGCAGAGCUGAGCUUGGAAGGAUGGAUAGGAUUUGAAUCAAUGGAAAUGAGUUGGCCAGGGAGAGGACAUGGGCAGAAGUAGGCACUGGUGAGUGGGUGAGUCGGGCUGGAGUGAAGAGACCACAAAGAUAAAGCUUAUAAGAUGACAGCAAGAAUGAGGGCGGAAAAGAGAAAAAGAAAUUUAAAAAA
rnacentral:lncRNA from 1 species